AGAGUUUGAUCCUGGCUCAGAUUGAACGCUGGCGGCGUGCUUAACACAUGCAAGUCGAACGCGAAAGGGGGCUUCGGCUCCCGAGUAGAGUGGCGCACGGGUGAGUAACGCGUGGAUAAUCUGCCCUCUUGUUCGGGAUAACUGCUGGAAACGGCAGCUAAUACCGGAUAAGCUCCACCAAUUGUAUGGUGGAGGAAAGGAGGCCUCUUCAUGAAAGCUUCCGCGAGGGGAUGAGUCCGCGUCCCAUUAGCUAGUUGGUGAGGUAACGGCCCACCAAGGCAACGAUGGGUAGCCGGUCUAAGAGGAUGACCGGCCACACUGGAACUGAAACACGGUCCAGACUCCUACGGGAGGCAGCAGUGGGGAAUAUUGCGCAAUGGACGAAAGUCUGACGCAGCGACGCCGCGUGAGGGAUGAAGGUUUUCGGAUCGUAAACCUCUGUCAGGAGGGAAGAAAGCGCAUGGCGCCAAUCAGCCAUGCGUUGACGGUACCUCCAAAGGAAGCGCCGGCUAACUCCGUGCCAGCAGCCGCGGUAAUACGGAGGGCGCGAGCGUUAAUCGGAAUUACUGGGCGUAAAGCGCGCGUAGGCUGUUGUGUAAGUUGGGGGUGAAAUCCCACGGCUCAACCGUGGAACAGCCCUUGAUACUGCGCGACUUGAAUCCGGGAGAGGGUGGCGGAAUUCCAGGUGUAGGAGUGAAAUCCGUAGAUAUCUGGAGGAACAUCAGUGGCGAAGGCGGCCACCUGGACCGGUAUUGACGCUGAGGCGCGAAAGCGUGGGGAGCAAACAGGAUUAGAUACCCUGGUAGUCCACGCUGUAAACGAUGGAUGCUGGAUGUCGGGGAAUAAUCCCCGGUGU
rnacentral:rRNA from 1 species